CAGAGUAGGCUUUCUUUCUUUCUUUCUUUCUUUUUUGGUUUGGUGAUUAUAAUGUUUUGGUUUAAGAGUAUCAAACUAGCAAGAUCUAGGAUAUCAAUUUCACGGACAGCAGCCUCUAUAUACAAUCUCCUAUUGCUGUUUUAUGUAUUCUGGACAAAACAUUAACCAAAGAAAAAAACAAUAACAAUGCUUUUUCUUUUGAAGAAAGCAUUGUUAUAUUUAGUGUAAAGGCCACAUCCAAUGUGUGUUUCAAUUUAGAAAUAGUAAAAAUGAAUUAAUAUCAUAUACAGGGAAAUGUUAUUUGCACUCCAUUUUGUGUCAUUUUGUGACACCCCGAAAAAAAUUAGGGUUUUCAUUUUAUGGAUCUUUUGUUGGACGAGCGGAGGAGCGCAGCUUUUAAACUUGGAAAAGAAGAAAAAAUUUUGGAAAUGUGAAGGGGGCCAAAUCCGGCCGGAAAUCCGGCCAGUUUCUGGCCGGAUAGCUGGCCGGAUUGCCCAGCCAUUUUGAAAAAAAAAAUUGAGGAGCUCUCUGCCUUGAAUCCGGCCAAGAAUCCGGCCAGAUUCCGGCCGGAUUCUGACGUGGCAGCUCCGGCUGUCAUGUUUGACCGACUGUUUCUUCACCUUUUUUAUCUUGUUUUGCACCCAAAAUAUCUUCAUUUCUGCCCCUUGCUCAGCCGAGCUUCACAAGAGAGAAAAACUCUUCCAUUUUCUAGUUUUAAUUUCUAUCAAAAUCUUGAGUUUUCACCAAUGAUUUUGGACAAUACUUCACACAAGGGCUCACUAUGGUGGACUAAGGCUCUUGAUGGAUUGGAUUUGGAUGGGGUGCUCCAUGUUGAUAGCUUCUUGAAUUUGUGAGGUAAGAUGUUUAAGGAAGGUCUUUCUUGUUUUGAUAAUGCUAUAUUAGUAACUUGUAGAGGUUGAAUGUGUUAUAUUGUGGAGUAUUUCAUGGGUUUAAGGAAACUAUGGUGAAUUUCUAAUUUAUUGGGCAUUUUUCUGAUUUUAUAUGAAAUGCAUGAUUAGUGUUGGAUUGAUGGUUUGAAAUGGUGUUAAAUGGAGCCUUUAUACGUUAAUUCCGGUUGUUAGAGGAAAAUUUCCACUUGUGAGGUGAUUUCCGGGUUUUAGGGUUUAAAUUGGGGAUUUGCUUAUGAUUGGGUUAUAUGGCUUUAAUUGAAGGGGUAUUGUGGCUCUAAUUGAGUAUAUUUGCUAGUCCAUAAUUGUAUGUAAAAUUGGGGUUGAAUGGAGGUAUAUUUGGUAUUGAAUGGUAGGUUGGAAAUGUGUAAAAUUAAAGGGGAAAUGCUGUCCCAUUUGUUGGAGAAUAUUUGAUUGAUUUGAACUUGUGUGAUCUUGACUAGUUUUAAGGAAAUUCUUGUGAUUUGGAGGUUGGGAUAAUGAAAUCCCAUGUUAGUGGUAUUUCCGGACUUUAGUAAUGUGAUUUCAUCUUCGAUUUGCCAUGUAUAUGAGUAAUAAGCUAUUCUAGUGUCUUAAGGUGGAAGUUCUAGCCUUUAAUCGUGAUUAAUGAUGGUUAUUCGCAAAUGUUGAUUUGGAAGUGUAAUUUCAGCUUUUGUUGUAUUAUUUCUGCUCUCAUGUAAUAAGUGGUAGUUGUCCAUAGCAUGAUAGCUGGAUAUUGGGAUAAAUGAAGCUUUGGUAUACUAGUUUGGAUUACUUAAAAGAAUUUUCAGCUAGAGUACAUGAAUUCUAGCUUAAGGUUAAUCUGCCCUGUUUUCGUACUGUACAUGUGACCAUGUUAAAGACUGAUUCGGCCCUUGCUCAAAACAAGAAACUUGUAGAUAUAUAAGUUAGCUACUUGCCUGCAAAAUUUCAGAUUGAUUGGAGUACUGUGGCCUGUGAAAUGACUGAAUUAACCAUGACUGCCCCGUAACCCCUGUUUUAUGACAGUUUUCGCUCUUUCUCCUAGAUUUCGAUAUUUGACCCUGAAAAUGUAUAAUUUGGCCUUGGAGGUCUUCAUAAGAAAUGUUGGUAUAUGUCUUAGCUUCGUAACGCCAUAAGUUUUGUGUCAGCCGGAUAGGUGUAGCUUCCAUUAUGAUUGAAACGCCAAAAGGUGGCAGGAACUUGUUAAGUUAGGAUUCCUUUUAUUUGACUUGUUAUUUGUAAUUUAGGACUCCGACUUGUGCAAGGCAAUGAGGUACUAUGGAUGGUUCCUGAGCUGUGGUUUGGUGAGUGAACCUUAACUAUUACUCCGAAAGUUACUUUUGAAAUAAUUCUUGCAUUGAUUACACGACUGCAUCUCAUUGUGUAUGUGUGUGUGCCAAAACAUUUUGGCUCCGAUGAGAUCUUGGGAAAAUCUUGUGCUUAGAACCAAUGUCUCCACUACUGUCUACGCAUUUCUUGGAGCACGAUGGCUCCUUAUACCUGUUUAUCUGAUACUUGAUCUAAGGGAGCGUUGGAUAUCUAAGUACAGGGAUUUCACUGGCUCCAAAGAGCAUUAUACGUACAUUUGAUCGCUAGUUCAUGAUAGCCAUUAAAUGCAUUAUUGUGAAAAAUAUUUGAUUACUGAUUUUACUGUUCACUCGCUGAGCUUCUAGCUCACCCCCAAAUGUUUUCUUCUCCCCACAGGAAUCGAGGCAAAGGAAGCGCUUGUAUUUCAUUAUUUUGGGUGCCUGGAUGGCAUGUAUAUUGUAUAGCUUAGAUUUGGAUACGUUUUGUGUAAUAGUUGGGCUAGGGUGAUUAUUUGAAAUUGGAAUGGAUGGAUUUCUCUUGUACACUUUGAUUUUGAUUUAACUUGUGUAAUUUUGGGAUGGUAUUGAACGUUUAGAACUGAUUGGAUGUGUAAUAGUCAAGAUUUGGACUUCCUCCUGUAUAAUCAUUGUGAUCAAGGAUCAGAGUGGCUCAGUGGAAGCGUGGACGCUUCGCUUUUGAUUUGUAAAUGUUGAAAUAUUUGAUUUAUAUUUGAGGUUUUAUCUUGUAUUUGUUUGAGGACUGUAGUGAUUGACCGAGUCCUGGCGAGAGUUGGGCAGGUGGCCCGUUAACCCCUCUGGUUCGCCUUAGGGGAAAAUGGGGUCGUUACACAUUUGCACUCUCACAAUUUAUCUUAUCAUAUAGUCUAAUAAAUGAAAACCUAUAUGAUUAAAAUGAUAGUGGCAGUGUGAUUAAUAAAAUGGGAGUACAAACAAUAUUUUCCUUGUAUAUAUUGUGUUUUUCACAUAAAUACAAUUUAUAUGAAUUUAUUAAAGAAUUUUUACUAUAAGGUUAUAGUAAUUUUGUAGUUAUAAUACUAUAGAGUGGUUAUGAGUUUUGUCCUAAAAAGAGGGGAUGUUUAUGAUUGUUGGCAAAAUGUCAUUAGGUAAUUAGAAUAAAAAUUAAUUUUUAUAAUGAUAAAAUUAAGAGUCUAGAAAAUGAAAAAAAUGUACAUAUAUAUACACACACACCAAACUGCGACUCCUUUGACUUUAUAUACUAUCUGAACCUUGAUAUCCAUAAGAACAAUCCAUUUUUGUUACCACAAGAUAUAUUGGCAGGCGCCAAUCAUUUGAUUGGAUUAAAAUUUGGAAUGGGCACACUUAACGAUAUGAAUCAUUUGAAAAAUAAACGUACUCGUUCUAUAGUGGAUCUUUUACAAGAUCAAUCUGGGUUGGCUUUGCUUCGUUUGGAAAAUGUUGUUCGAGGAACUAUAUGUUUAGCAAUUUGACAUAAAUUGAUACCAACGCCUCAAAAUUUUGUAGGUUCAACUCCAUUAACAAUUACUUAUGAGUCUUUUUUUUUUUUUUAAGGUUUACACCCAUUAUUUCAAGUUUUGGAUGGAACCAAUCCGUUGACACAAAUAGUUCAUGGGAGAAAAUUGAGUUAUUUGGGCCACUAACAGACGAACUACUAAUUUUUUGAAUAUGAGAUAUUCAUUCCAGUCACUAUGUGAAGAAAUUAAUGUUGGAUUUAUUGGAUCCUUAUCAAUUCAUGCGAGGAUUGGCGAUUGUUAAUUUUUUUCUUUUUACAAAAGUAAAUAUACGAAAAGUUAAUCACAAUACCUCCCCUAAGAUAUAUGUACUCAAACUAGCAGGUUACCCCCUAAACUUUAUUUUUUCUCACUUAACCCCCUAAAGGCAAAACUACCCUCUAUUAUGCUAAAUUUUUAUUUUUCUUUUUCAUCUUUCUAUGAUCAAUUAAUCUAAAAUCAUUGCUCAAAUUUAAUCUUUCUAAUUCAUGUGAUAAGAUAAAUAGAUUUACUAAAAAAUAUGUUAAUAUUUGAUUACUUUUAAAAAUAUAAUAAAGGAAAUAAUCUAAUAAGUAAAAAUCCAAUAUAGUAAAAUGAACAAAAAGAUGCCCAAAUGGCCCUCAGGGGCUUGGUCUGGUGGUUGAGGUUGUUGAAGAUGGAGCCUCAGGUCCCUGGUUCGAACCUUGCUGCCAGCAGGUUGCUGAGGGUGGUGAAUAGUCUGCGGGGUCCACUCCCUGCGGGACACACCUAAAAAAAAAAAAAAAAAAAAAAAAAGAUGCCCAAAUGACUGCCAUGUUAAUGUGAUUGCAAAAAAUGAGUAGAUUAUUUCUAAUUGUAUGAUUAUAAUCACAUAGAAUAUAUUUUUUUUUAAUUUCUUAGAUUGAAAAUAAAUGAAAUUAAUUGUAAUGUAAUUUAUAGUUAUUUACUUAUUUGCUAAGUAUAAGGGAAUAUGUACAGGUAUAUAUGUAUGUAUACACAUACACAUACACACACACAUAUAUAUAAUAUUAUAUAUAUUGUAUAUUUUAUAUAUGUAUAUGUAUAUAUCAUAUUGUAUAAUGGAAUAUAUGAUAAUAUAUUGAUAUAGGUUUCUUAUUUUUGUGAGUUAGAGGAUGGACAUCCUAAAGUUUUUGUUAGGAUGGAUUAUGACAAAUAAAAGAGAAGAAAUUUUUAUUUGUAAAAAAAUUAACUUUAAUAAAAAUUUGAUUCUUUGACAAAUACAAACUUUAGAAAAGGAAACUAAUGGAUAGAGAGAGAUUUUUUUAUUUGCUAAAAGAUAAGAAUUUAAAAAAUGAAAACUAAUUUGAAAAAAAAUCAACAUAGUAGAGGAGUAGUUUUAUCUCUUAGGGGGUUAAGUGAGUUAUAAUAAAGUUUAGGAAAUAAAUUGUAAAUCUAAUUAUACCUUUGGGGGAGGGGGGUUUUGAUUAACCCAUAUAUCAAUUGAAGGGCAAUUGGUGAAUGGUUGAGAGUUACAUGUGAUUUUUCUUCUAAUGUUUAACAUUAUAAACAUUUUCAUCUUUCAACACAAAUGAGCAAAAUAAAGAUCUAAAGUAUGUAAUGAAGUGCAAAUAAAAAACAUACAUAAAGUUGAAUAAUUCAUGCACAUGUUCUAUAGAAUUUCAUAUUUGAAAACAUAUGUAAAGUUUAAUAAUUCAUACAAAUGUUAUAGAGAAUUUUGCUCCAUAGGUAUCUACCUUGUUGAGAUGUCAUAUAAAGCACGUACUUGUAAAACAUUGUUCACAUACAAUGCAAUAUAAAGACAUUACUUUAAAGACAUCUAUCGUUUUGAGAAUGAAUUGAGAAAGGUAUCUACUUUUUUGAGAUGUAAUAUAAAGCAAAUUCUUGUAAACAUUGUUGUACAUAAAAUUAAAGAUACCAUUGAUUAUAAGCCAAAUAUCUACGUGAUAUUGCAUAGAACUUUCUUUAAUUGUUUAGGAUAAUAAUUGACGUGUUAAUUAACCAUGAGAAAAUUAGUUCUCUUUUGUUUCUUUUUAAUUAGUGUAUUAGGAUCAUGUUGAUUUCCUCAUAUCCUAGCUUAAACUUGAAAAGCUAAAAAGGUAGUUUCUUUGAAGUCCAAAUAACAACCUUACCAAAUGUUGCAAAAUCCCACAAAAUUUUUGAAUGAUCAAAUAAAUUAUGAAGGUACACUAAUUAUUUACAAUAUACAAUUGACUUAAAAUACUACUAAAAGAAUUGAGAGGAAGAUAAUGUGAUUAUAUCUAAAGCAUAUUUAGGGCUCCUACUAGUGUUAUUCUUCAUUGAAUUUUUCUCAUUCUUUGGCUAUAUUUUGAUUGACGGUUGCUAUGUUAGGCUCUCUAAAACGUGAUAUUUACGAAAUAAUCAUAAAAGUGCAUAUUCAAAUUUAAAAAACAUGAAAUAUUUUGUUAAAAUCAAUUUUGGAUGGAUAUUAAAUAGUCAUUAUUGCUUUUCAAACAUGGCUCACUGCAUACUAUAUGUAACAUCUGAUUUGCAAAGAUACAAAGAUAUUUUGGAUGAAAUAGUAAUCAAUGGAUUUUUUAUAUGUGGAAGUAAAUGCGAUUGUGUCUUUCAAGUCUCAUUCUUUGACUAUAUUUUGAUUGACAUUUGCUGUGCUAGGCUUUCUAGAGAGGGAUAUUUACGAAAUAAUCAUAAAGGUGCACAUUGAAAUUUUAAAAAUGUGAAAUAAUUUGGUAAAAUUAUUUUUAGAUGGAUAUUAAAUAGUCAUUAUUGCUUUCCAAACCCAGCUCAAAGAUGCAAAGAUAUUUUGGAUAUAUAGUUGCUGUGUUAGGCUCUUUCAAGAGUGAUAUUUACCAAAUAAUCACAAAAGUGUUUACUGAAAUUUAAAAAACAUGAAAUAUUUUGGUAAAGUCAAUUUUGGAUGGAUAUUAAAUAGUCAUUAUCACUUUUCAAACAGAGCUCAUUGCAUACUAUAUGUAACGUCUGAUUUGCAAAGAUGCAAAGAUAUUUUGGAUAAAACAAUAACUAAUGGAUUUUUCUUAUGUAGAAGUAAAUCCGAUUAUAUCUUACAAGUUAUUAGAAAUUUGAACAUGUGAUUCACAUUUUUGCCAAUUCCAAACCUAUUAAAGACCACAUCAAACCUCUCAUAUCAAACACAAAGCACUACUCACAAUCUGAUAAAGAUGAGAUCCAAAGCUCAAAACUCCAUCAACCUUAAGCCCCUAAUCAUUCUCUUCUCCUGUUUCCUCUUCCUUCUUGUUCUAAAACUAGGAUCAAAUUAUUCAUCAAACAUACAAAAUCUUCAGUCAAAAUAUAUUAAUUUUACAGCCCCAUGCCACAAAAUUCCACCAUCACUAGCUGAAGCACUCGUCCACUAUGCAUCCACAAAUAUCACCCCUCAACAAACCUAUCAAGAACUUCAAAUAACAUUAAGAGUUCUUGAACAAAAAUCUCCUACCAACUUCUUGAUUUUUGGCCUUGGCUACGAUAGUCUCAUGUGGUCAAUGCUCAACUAUGGUGGUAAAACAAUUUUCUUGGAGGAAAGUGAUGCAUGGAUGCAGGACGUGAAGAAGCAAAUACCUUCGAUUGAAGCUUUCCAUGUAACCUAUAAUACUAAAGUAACUGAAGCUGUUCAACUUUUACAUCUUGGGAAAGAAGAAAAUUGCAAAGUAGUGACUGAUCCAAGAUCGUCAAAGUGCCACCUAGCAAUCAAAACUUUUCCAGAUGAAGUUUAUAACACUGAGUGGGAUGUGAUAAUGAUUGAUGCACCAACGGGGUACAAGGCUGAAUUGCCUGGACGGAUGACUGCUAUUUAUACUGCCGGACUAUUGGCAAGAAAUAAGAGAUUUGGUGACACUGAUAUUUUUGUACACGAUAUUGAUCGAUGGGUGGAGAAUAAAUUUUCCAUGGAUUUUUUAUGCGAAGGAUAUUGGAAAGAAGAAGUGGGAAGAAUCAGGCAUUUUACCAUUCCAAGCCAUAGGGGAGGAGUUGAGAGGCCAUUUUGCCCAUGACGAUUGCAGUUGCAUCAAUUUACCACGACCAGACCAAGACUAUUAUUUUGCAUUUUUUUAACUUAUUUUUCUUUUUUUUAUAAUUAUGAUCUUUUUUUAAUUUUGUUUGAUUUUGAUGAAAGUCAAUUUUGCCUCCUAUGAAUUCAAAAUUAGUUUCUUCUAUUUUUAUAAGUUUUUUUGAAAAAUAAGGUUCUUUUUCAGUGUUAAGCAUUGUGGUGUUAAUUUUUACUACAAUAUUAUAGACAUGUUUUAAAAUAUUUUGAAUAAUUUAUCUUGGAUGGUCUAAAACCAAAUAAGAAAAAAGGAAAUGGUAGAAUUUAUCUAUUUUAAAAAGCAAGAUGUACGUACACGUUUUACAUUUGGCGAAAAGAGGGCGAGAGAAUUGAGAAUUUUGCAGGGAAUUUUUGUCUUUUACCCUGUCCUUUUUAUUUCUUUCCCUUAAAUAUCACUUUACUAUAUCAAAAAAGGUGGAGUUGUAAUUUCUAUAUAUCAAGCAGCAUCUUCUUUUAUUAAAUAUAUAUUGCCUUUCUUUUAUUAAACAUAUAUUGCCUUAUACAACAUGUUAUCGAUGGCUAUAUAUAUAUAUAUAUAUAUAUAUAUAUAUAUAUAUAUAUAUAUAUAUAUAUAUAUAUAAUUUAGAGUAAUAUUUAAUCUCACCCUAAACCAUCCAUCAAAGUGAUUGUAUCGUAUCAAAGAGCACCAGCAAACUUUAAAUAUAAAAUAAGAAGCACCUUGAAAAGCUACCAAUUAUAUAUGCUGCACGAAAUUUGGUUGAAUAUAAUUUACUUCUACCCAAAUAAGGCUAUUAAUAACCUUGAAAUAAUAUUUAUGCAUGCCAGUGAAAUGUGAUUCCAAUUUCCACUUCAAAAAAGGGGAGAAUAUCUGCAAAUAUUUAUUUCUUUUUGUUUUUGACAAAGGUAAUAGCGGUCUCAAAAAAUGGAAUAUUAUCAAAAGAUAAUCAGAAAAGUUAAGUCAUAAAUUCAUGCUUUAUGAGUCGCGAAACACGGAUUAACAUAUAAUUAAUUGUACUAUAAGUCAUAAACUAAAGUUCAAUUUCACCCUAAUCUUUGCUAUUCCUAGAUGCCCAAGUAUAAAACACUAAGCAGAGCAAUAUUUAUGGUUAGCUAUACCACUUUUCAGUAAUUCUAAGAGUUCAUUUUAGGAUAUUAAGUAAGCAUAUGACCCAUAUUCCAUAUGAUUUUAGCCUUCAUCCUGCAUUUUUGUUUUGGGGUAUGACUGGUAGGAGAUGCCAAAAUUGAGCCUUUAUUACUGUCUUGAUACUGAACUUAAUACAAAGCCAAUGUGAAAUAAUUUUAGAAAUCUCCAUUGAGGUUUUUAACAAUUUCACUUAGCUUCCUCAAAGUUUUAAAAUUACACAUACCUCCAUUGUUAUUUAAAAUUAUAAUACUACCCUUAAACAUUUUAAUGAAAUUCUCUUGUUUCGUAUGCUUAUACUAAGAAUCAAUUUUAAAAUUAUUUUUCAUUAUUUUUCUUUCUUUUUCCUUCCUAUUCCUCUUGCCAACAAAACUACGAAACGAGCACUACUGCCUCUAGCUUCUACUGUAAACAAAUAUCGAGCAAAUUAAAAAAUCAAAGUAUGGUAUCAAAAUCAACAAAAGAUUUAAAAAAAAAAAAGCCCAAAACCACUACCAAAUUAUUGUAAUCUUACUACUUGAAAAAUUCACAAAUUCUAAAAUAAUUAUUUCAACAUUUUCUUUUCUAUCUUAUAAAUCUAACUCUAUGGUAAAUUACCAUCAAAAGUAUCCUAUCAUAGUGAUAAAAUUAUUAUUGUAGUUGUUUGUUAAAUAGUAGAUAUAGACAUGAAAAUUUGGCACAUUUUCCUUAUAAUUGUGCUAGAUAAUCUUACAAUUGUAUAAUGGAUUAAAUUAAAACUCAUUACAUGAGGGCAUUUUAUGGUAUUCAUUUAAAAUUUUGAUCAAGUCAACCUUAUUUUAAGAUUUGGCUACUAUUAAGAGAGGUAGCUCUAAUUUUAUAAACUUUAGGGGAGUUCAGUGAAAUUGUCAUAAACCUCAAGGGAGAUUUCCAAAAUUAUCCCAAAAUUUAAAAAAAAAUGAGGACAAUCAAUAAUUUAUUAAUUCAAGUAAUGUGGGGCUUGCAUGAACACAAUCAAACACCGCGAGCCCCAGUAGGCUGUCAUUUCAUCACCCUACUCACAACCCACCAAGACCAACACUCAUAUCGACAUCGAAGCAAUAAUUAAUGUUGUCUGUUUAUUGUACCGAAAUUUCUGGUAUUGUAAUGGGCGCAAAUGCCAUUACAAACAAGGAAAAAUCAACAUCAAUGGCAGUAGGGGCUGAAUUUGUUCUAGGGGAUGAAAUCACUAUUUUAGAAGGGCAAGUUCUUUGUGGUUUUGUCGGUGCAGAUAUGCACGCUCCCAAUCCUGAUACAAUGAAUGAAUGAAUGAUGUUGCAAAUUUACUCCACGCUGUCACGUAAACACAUGUCCAAAUAGUUAAUGGUCGAACAAAUUGAUCUUCUUCUGGUAUAUAAACACAAUUCUGCAGAAAAAUGAUAAUGUAACCAUAAAUAACACCUAUGAUGUAGAAAAACUUUUCUCCACCAAAUGAAUAAUAAUGUAGCCAGCCAAUACAUGUAAUUCUAACUUAACUUGCUCCAAUGAAGCUGAACUGUGCUUUAAUUACAAACUUUAAUUGCCAACAACACACGACUUUUUGAUGUUUGAAAAAGAUGCUGAAGUCUGUUUGUCUAUAAUUACAUAAUCAAUGGUACCUGUUACCGCAUGCACUCGAAUCAGAGGACAUUUUAAUUUAGUGCUGCGUUUUAGAGAGAAAAAUUUACUGAAGUUAUUCUUUUAACAGAAAGGCAGCCAAACAUAUUUAGAGAAGAACAUAUGCUAGUACUAGUAAUGUCAACAACUGUUCUCCCGGUGCUUAUAUAAAAAGAUGACAAUCAAUUAGGAUGAUGGAUUUGGCUAUUGAAAUUGUAUUUUUCAAAUGGAAUAUUGAUCCCGAUUAUGUUUCACCUUGGAAAAUAAGAAAUAUUACUACAAUUUCUCGAGUCCAAAAUACGUGAAUGAAAUAUAUAUAUGCAUCAUGUUGUGCUAGCCUUUGAAAUAUUUAUUUGAGAUAAUUACUAUCACACUUUUUGUGAUGUGAUAUAUAUGAGAUGAAAAGGUGGUUGAAAAUUGUGCGUAUGAUACAAGUAAAACAAAAUUUUAAUUUUUUUUUUUAAAUCUUGUAAUCCAAAGACACCCACUAUUUCUCGAGCUUUAGACUUGCUUACAAGUGAGUGGAAGACAAAGUCCGUUGCUAAGUAUAACUUCCAUCUAUUUUUCACUUUUCAUGAAACUAUGAGGGGAUUAUGUGGUCAUUUGUAAACUAUAGGGCGACUACGUGGUAAAAUGCAAUACCAAAAGGGGAUGAUAAAGAAUUUACCCUGACAAUUAUAAGUAGAAAUCUCUCAGUACACCAAGAGAGAAAAAAAAAUGAUAUUCUUUUAACUGUGUUUUUGAAAACGACUAUUAUAACUCCUAGCUAUUCAUGCAGCCCGGCCCCUUACACUGUGCAGAGACUCCACGUAUCCAUCCGGCUGAUAAAUGCUUUAUCAAAGCUUGUGUCUCGAUCGGAUGUGAACUGCGAUACAAUAGAACAAAUGCAUCAGAUGAUGGUACCGUGGUUUUAGUUUGUUGAAUCGGGGCAGCUAAAACGUGUGAUGCACAAUAUGUUGUUACAUUCCUUAAUAGAAAAAAAUUGCAUCAAUAGCCCCUCACAUAUGAUUAAUGUAAAAUUUUAGUCUCUCAAAAUCAAAAUCAUUGAUUUUAGUUCCUAACAAUCGAAAAACGAUCACUUUUGAUCCCUUAUCACCUUUUCUGGCUAAAUUUUUAUCGGAACCUGUCGUGAACCCAUCACAUGAUUAGUUUUUUAAGGGCAAAUUUGGUAACUCAUUUAAUAUGGAACUAAUUUUUCAUUUAAUCUACCAUUUUUUCAAAUUAUUCUUCACUUAAACCCUAAUUUCACAAAUCUAAAUCCACAUCACUUAUUUACCUAUUCUACCAUCAUCUUCUCAUAUCACUCCCAUUUCCACCAUCGCCACCACUGCCAUUUGACCUCUUUCUCACUUCUCAGCCUCCACCUCUUCCCUUUUCCCUCUUUUCUCCUAUUCUUCCCCCAAUUUUAUGGGUCUUGUAAAUAAGUAUUUUUCUUUCUUCCUCUAUUUUUCAAAAAUCAUGGAAAUGUGUUCUGUAAAAAGAUUUGUUGUAACUAAAUAACAAAGCUCAAUAGGGCUCGACGUAAAUUUGGACGGCAGAGACAAGGCAACCUCUAUCUUUCUUGCUAGGGACCUGGAAAAGCCAAGGUGAAGGUAGUUUCCCUACCAUCACCCGUUUUCAAUAAUACUUUGAAGAAAUGAUUUUUUCUCACCACCACACAAAAUCCUAUAGCCUAUUCCCAAAGCACUUGAAUGUUAAAAGAUUUUGAAGAGCCAUAGCAAACCCAUGAUAGCAUAUGUGGUUGAUAUAGCUACUGAAGUUACUAGUCUACAAUCACAUCCGAAGCCUCACUCAAGAAGCCCCAGUAUAAUCAUCUCCAAAUUAUUGAACCUAAUGGCUAUGCAUUACUUGUAAAAAAAAAAGAUUUUGUUUUAAGUUUGUUGAUUCUUGAGGCUUACAUGGCUGAUUUUGGAGUUAUUGAUGCUGUGUAUUUCACUGGGUCAUUUUGCAAAAAAAUUCAAUGAGUUUUUGUGUUGUUUUGACAAAAGAAAUGAAAAGAAAUCACAGCUAUUUUUGGCCAUUUUGACCACUUUUUGUACAAUUUUUGCAAAAAAUAAUGUUAGAAUUGGAAUUCAUGCAAAAAACCAAGUGGGGGGUAAAAAUUUGAGACAAUUUGUGAACAGAAGACGGUGGUCUGUGGUGGUGCCGCUGUUGAAAUGCACUAUGGCAGCUCAUGUGAGCUUUGUAAGAAAAUGGAAUGAAGAAGAUUAUAGAAAAAGGAAAAAGAAAGAAAGAAUAGAGAAAAUGGAGUUUUAUCAAAACUAUGUCAUUUUAACUAGUUUGGCAUUUGGUGAAUAAUGGAGAGAAAUGGUGGAUUAGGAAAGAAAUGGGCAAUAUUAAUUGAAUUGUCAAAUUUGUCCUUAAAAAACUAAUCAUGUGACUGGCUCGUUAUAUAUUCCAACAAAAAUUUGACCCGAAAGGUAACAAGGGACCAAAAGGAAACAUUUUUUAAAUUGUUAGGAAUUAAAAUCGAUUAUUUUGAUUUUGAGGGACCAAAAUUUCACAUCAGUCAUAUAUGAGGGGACUAUUGGUCUUGUUAACCCUUUUAAUAUCCCAGCUUUUUUUUUUCAAAUUGAUUCCCGUAAAAAAUCUACAAAAUUCUGUUUGGAUGCUGAGUUUUUCAUAAUCUUUAAAUAGGGAUAAUUUCAGAAACCUCCCUUUAGGUUUUUAAUAAUUUCACCUAGUUCUCUUAAAAUUUGAAAAAUUACAUAUACCUUCCCUGAGUUUACCGUUUCCGUAACAAAAACUAUUUAAUUGUCAAAAUUUUGAAUGAAUAACCCAAAAUGCCCUCAUGAAAUUGUGAAGUUCAUUUUACCUUCUUACAAAAUUAUUUAAAAACUAUAGAGCAUGCACAAAAUUUCAAACUCAUUUUUAGCUCUUAUCUCUACUACUUUAACCCUUUUCUUAUAUCCACAUUUCAAAUUAGUACUAUUAUCAUCAUGACCAUUACCACUGUCAAUUCCUAAAUUCUAAAACCUCAAUCGAAAUUUAAAAAAUUUGUAUUGUUAAACUCAAAAAAUUUUAAUAACCACGUCAAUAUAACAUUCUAUCCCUCAACUAUUGAAGUAUCAAUACCAGCCUUAUCUUUUUUAAACCCAAUUUACAUAUUCUUCUAUUCAUAUUCAGGUCCUCCAAGAAAAGUAAAAUUAAUUUUUAAUAUGUUAUUAUUAUGUCUAGGACAUGGACGAUUAUAUCAUGAGUGAAUUUUAUUUUCAUUUUCAUUAAACGUUUAAUUGUGUAAUCCAUUCAUAUGAACAAGAUUAGAAGUGAAUUGUUUAAUUGCAUAAAAAAAUAUUAAUAUGUUAAGACUAUUAUGAUUAUUUUGUAGGGUCAAAGGAGGUAUGUGUAAUAUUAAAAAUCUUAAGGAUGCUAGGUGAAAUUAUCGAAAGCCUCUAGGGAGGUUUCUGAAAUUAUCCCCUUUAAAUAUGAUCUCUAAUCCUUUUUUUUCAAACGUCUCACACUUUUCAAUAAAGUGUUACGGUAAAAUAUAAUUUUAUUUAGAAAAAAAGAAGCUUUGCUAGACUACCAACUUUCUCUUUAGUUUCAAGUUAGCAGGUCGACCGACAAGUUCUAUUUAGUGUCGGACUCUUUUGCUUUUUGGGAAUUGAUGGCAUGAUAACAAGAUUGCCCUCAACAGUGUACAUAGAAGAUGAGAGUAACUUACGUUGAAAGAUGUAUAAUGGAGAUAACAGCUGUUGAAAUGGUAAUUUUCUUUUUUUUUUUUCCUGGCACUAUAGAGAUAGAUAACCUAAAGAGGUUAAACGAGAAUUCGGAAAAUACUGAACUAUCGUCAAUUCAGACGGAUGCCUAUGCAUCUAUUGACGAAAUCUCUUAAAAAAUCUGAAUUUUUAAGAUGUAGGACAAGCUAAAGAGGUUAAAGAAGAAUUCGAAGGAGAUUGAACCAUUAUCGAUUUCGAUGAAUGUCUAUAUACUUGCUGACAAAAUCUCCAGAAGUACCUGAAUUUUUAAAAUAUAGGACAGAAAAUUUGAUCCCUUGACUUAUACAUAAGUAGAACUUUAAAUCUUUCUUGAUGAGUAACUACUUGAUUGUUGAAAUGGUAAUCAAUAUAAUGAAAUUUGUGACAUAAAUCUCUAUCACUAUUCUGGUUGAUUUAUGAAUACUGCUAGCGUAGUGGGAAAAGCAGUCGUUCUGCAUACACAAAUUGAUCGAAAAAUCUUCUCCUAUGUCUUUGCUAUUCGCUGUUGAUGUAGCAUUCGUCCACUCUAGUGGGAGAAACUAAGUAGUAAUAAUUCCAAUCUUUUCCUAUCUUGAAGCAAUGCCAUCAAGUAAAAGUUAAAACAAAUUUUGAAACCCUUUUUCCUUUUUCUUUUUGUAAUUUAAUGAGAAAAGAAUUUAGGAACGUUGAACGAUUCAAACUUAACAAUAAUUAUUAUUGGUAUCACCUACUAUCAACAGGUCGUAGCAACUUCCAAUACUACCAUCACAUUCCAAACUACUUGAAAUCAUUGAAGCAUGGGAAGUUAAACAAUCUUCGUCUGUCAACUGCACCACCACACCGAGGCCGAAUAUUCUUCUGUUACUUGGUCAUUGACCUUCAACAAAAAUAAAUUUAUUAAAUAAUGGCUAGUGCCUAGUAGUAGUAUUACUAUUAUUAGAGGUGGCAAAAUGGGCGGGAUGGGUGGGAUUUGCUUGGGUUCGAAAUGGAACUAAAUCAUAUGGAUUUGGAUCUAACCUUACCCAUGUAUAUUUUGGGACUAACUUGGACGGGAUCACUUUGGGAUGGGUUUAGAUUGAUCCCGUCUAAUACCCAAAUUUAUUUUCUAUAUUUUUUUCCUUUAAUUCUUUUUUAUUUUUUAUAUAACUUUAAUGUUUUUAUUUAUUAAAUUUCUUUUGAUCUUAUUGUGAAUUUAUAUUUUCCUGAAUUCAUUUACACUCUAGAACGAUCAACAGUUAUUUUUAAAAGACAUAACAUUUUGUCAAGAAUGAACAUAUCUUCUCCCUGGAUUAAACCAAAAAUUGGAUUAAUAAAUAAAAGAAAAGAUAAAUAUACAACUAUAUUCCAACCUUACCCAUAAUGUUGUCUGACACAAGGACUAAAAACAAAUUUUUUAACACCAAAUUCAUUCUUACUGACAUUCUUAAAAUUUCCAAAAUUCGAUACAAAAGAAAUUCACAUUAAAUGCUGAAUAAAGCUAGCACAAAAACGACGAAGCUGAUUAAAAAUUGAUAAUAGGAUUGCAUAUAGAAAUCUAUGUAGAUAGUUCAACAAUUAGCAUAAAAUCAACAUAAAGGGUGCCAACAAUUGUUAGUAAUGCAUUGAUUCUUGUAGACACCAAAAUUUUAUCAAUUCAUUUUAUUUUUAUUGUUAUCUUUAUUUUUUUAAAAUUGUUUAAAUGAAAUCAUUUUUACUUAAUUGGUUUUCUUUUGUAGGAAAUUAAAGAAAGGAAAAGAAAGAAAAUGGAAGUGAAAAAAAAAUUAGAGUUUUGCACAAAAAAAAAAAAUCAAAGAUGAAUUUUUGGAUAAAUGAAAUUUUUUGGAAAGAUAUUUGGGCCCAAUGGGUACCCAAGUAUUUCCCAGUAUUUUCUAUCAAAUAAUGGGUAUAAUUGGGAUGCAUCCCAUUUUAAACCCAAUAUCAAAUUACAAUACCCAUCCCGCCCAAAGUCCUUUUGAGCAUGGGUAGUCCAUUGGGACUUGGGACAGAUUGCCACCUCUAACUAUUAUACUCCUUUCAUUAUUAGUUUGAUAUUUUUAUUUUUAUUUUUCAUCUAUUCUGCAUUAUAGUCUAAGAAUAUAGUUAACUUGUAAUUUCUCUAAAAUAUUCUUAUUAUUGUACUUUAUCAUCAAUGAGUAGAUUCAUUAAUUACUUGGAUUCAUGUCUUCAAUGAUUCAACUUUUUAUAGAAUUGUUAUUGUAAUUAAUGUAAAAAUAUAGUGAUUAGACAUACACUUAAAAUUAAUGUAAAAAUAUUUUUAAAAAAAUAAUAGAUUAGAUUUAUUUUUUUAAAUUGUAUUUAAAAAAAUCAGAACUAUCAAAAUAGAUGGAAGGAGCAUUCUCCUGUUUGGAAAAAAAAAAAAAGUCUUGCAUGAUCAAAAUUAAUUAAGAUUAAGAUUGGUUCCCCUGUCCCCAUCAGCUUGAAUCUCCUACCACUCUGUACUUGCUUCAUUUUAAAGUUUCGCGAAGACAGAUCACUAUUGUUGAAUUUAAUAAGGGAGAGCUAAUUUUUGGUGUCCUAUGUUACUAGCUGGCUCAAUAAAUAAGCUUUCAUCUCAAGUGGCAGACGACAACUUCUGCAGGAACAUCAGUCACAAAAGCUGGUAAAACACAGUACUACUCUCAUUAUAUCUGUCCAUUGUGGGGUUCCGUUGAUUUCCGAUCAAGUAGAGCUUGCUUCUACAGAUCCAUUUCCUAAAUCCAUACAUCAAAUUUUUCAGCUCAAGCCAGAAAUUUAUAUCCGCUUUUAUCUCUUCUUUUCUCUUUAGUUUUCAGGGAAAAAGAAAAGGUCAAAAAAAAAGAAAAAGCGAAGAAGAAAAUAGGAUCUCCAUGAGACCCAAGACUCAAUACCCCACCGGCCUUAAGCUCAUUUUGAUAUGCUUAUUAGGUCUUCUCCUUCUUUUCUUGGUGCUCAGAUCAAGUUUCUCAUCAUCUCAGCUUCAAAAUUCAUCUCUGAUUUCAGCAAUUUAUCCAUCAAACAUCAUUGCAUCAUCAUCAUCACCAGAAACUUCUCAAGAACAAAGCCAGUCGAGUACUGCUACUACUUCCAAUGAUUGUCCCCCUACAGAAACUCUAGUUCCAACUUGCACCAAAAUCUCACCAUCUCUAGCAAAUGCAAUUGUCCAUUAUGCAACCUUAAACAUCACACCCCAACAAACCUUCAAAGAAAUCUCUGUUUCCCUACGAGUACUGGAGAAAAAAUCACCCUGCAACUUCUUGGUCUUCGGAUUAGGCCACGACAGCCUAAUGUGGACGGCCCUCAACCACGGCGGCCGCACCGUAUUCCUCGAAGAAGACAAGUCCUGGAUCGAGCAGGUCCAAAGACAACUACCAAAUCUUGAAUCUUAUCAUGUAACCUAUGAUACUAAGGUAACUCAAGCUGAUGAGAUCAUGGAAGUUGGGAUGAGAGAAGACUGC
rnacentral:lncRNA from 1 species